CAGGGUUGGCUAAUACAAAAUGUGUUUAUUAAGGCGAUGAUCAGGUCUCUCAGAUUCUUUAUGAUAUGAUUGACUAAUCAUCAUUUUCUUUUCUCUUUUGUUAUGCUAUUUCCACUGUAUGAAAUACAACUGAAUAUCACUUUAAAUUGCUGCUGGUUAAUCAGGAAUUGUAGGUAUAGGUUAGCAAUGUAUUUGGGCAUAUUGCACACGAGUGGCUUUCCAUUUGAAUUUAAAUUCCCAGAUGAAACUUUGAGCAAGUCAGGCCUACUGUCUGUGUGUGUGCUGUACAUCUACACUUUAUCAUUCCAGGCCAGUGAUUUUGUAGUGUUUCCCCCCCGUAUAGCCUUUUGUAAAGGCUGUCUUUACCAUUACUCGUAUGUCAAUUCUAAAACUACAAACAGAAAUCUACGUUGAUGAUUUCCUUUGAAUUUUGGGCUCUGUGUUAUAGACUUCUCUAUUGACUUGUGAUGGAACAUGGGCUUUCCUACAAAACUACCUCAAAAAGUGUGCCUCAAGCUAUUAAACGGUCUUCGAAUGACAUGGUGUGAAAUUUCUGUUCUGAAAUCAGCCUUUUUUUCUUCUUUUGUCUGAAUUGAAGACGCUAUUUUACUUUUUUGUAUCUUACUCAUUAUUCAUGAAUAUUAUCAACAUGACAGACCAUUGCCAUACUUGUUUGUGAAUGCCAUUUGUUGCUUGAAUGUUAUGCAUUACACACUUGUUUGGUCAUAGCCCAUGCAUCUGCUAUGUGUAGACAUCAUCUACUAAUAAAAUUAAUUAUGAAAUGGC